GGAGGCAUCGCAUAGUGGCCAAUUGCACAGGUUUGCUAAACCUGACCCUUCGGGGUUCCUGGGUUCAAAUCCCAGUGCCUCCG
rnacentral:tRNA from 2 species